rnacentral:sRNA from 1 species
AACAUCACUUGCAUUAUGUCUGAAAUCACACAGUUUAUAUCAGAUCUCCAAACAGUUUUAGAAUCCAAUGAUAUAAGAUUUACCUUUGCAUAUAAAUCCCGGAAUAGUGAUUUUAAAGAAAUGCAUCCUUUACAGAAAUCGGUCCCACCAAGGGGUAUAUUUACGCCCCAAAAGAUCGAAAAAGAACUUAUCUAUCAACAGUUUGGUUCUCUCUUAUUAUCAGAUGAACAUGGUUUUGCAGUAAUUUUUGCUUCUCCUAAUGAAAGACCAGAAACUGAAAAACCACGAAUAAUCAGAGAUAUAAAAAUUGAACAUUAAGAAAUAAAUCGGCUCUACAGUGUGUGUUGUCAGAGUGAUCAAGAAGUGUGGACGUGCAGCAAUGAUCAUAUCAUGAAACUCUUCAAUCUUCAAGGAGAAUUAGUGAAGUCAAUAGAAACCAAGUCAGGGAAUAAGCCAAAUGACAUUGCAAUAACAAAGAAAGGCUAUCUAGCAUAUACUGAUUACAUUGUUCAAACUCUGAACAUAGUGAAGGAAAAACAGAUACAGGAGAUAAAAUUAAGAAAAUGGAGACCCCAUGGUGUCUGUACUAGCUCCUCUGGUGACCUCCUGGUAAUUAAGGACAAUGAUAAUAACAGAGAAUCAAAAGUCGUGCGUUACUGUAGCUCAAAAGGAAAGGAGAAACAAAAUGUCCAGUUUGAUACUAACGGCCUCCCUCUGUAUUCACCUGGUGGCAUAAAAUACAUUAAUGAAAAUAGGAACGAAUAUAUCUGUGUAUCUAUCUGUUGGUCCAGUGCAGUAGUAGUGGUCAGCCGAGUCGGGAAAUUUCGCUUUUCAUACAAUUGGCCAUCCACUUCUGCCACCAGAUCAUUUAAUCCUUACGGCAUCACCACAGACAGCCAGGGUCGGAUCCUGACGGCUGACUGUAACAACUACAGUAUCCAUAUCCUUGAUCAGGACGGACAGUUCAUCCUCUACAUUGACAACUGCGAAAUAUGUUGUCCAUACGGUUUAUGUGUGGACACCAGCGACAGCCUGUUUGUGGCUGAGUGGAAAUCGGGAAAAAUGAAAUUGAUUCAAAAUUACAUGUUCUAGACACUGAUUAGUGCACAUUUGUUUCUGAUGAAUGUGUCUUUGCUACCCAUUUGAAAUGAUAUCAUGAUCUUUCAGGCGGUUAGAUAUUAAUUUGUGUUUGUAUCUGAAAAACAAAACAUGUAAAGAUGAAAAUGACAAUCAUGUAUAAUCCAAUUAGAAAUGUAUCUA